AUACGUAGGGGGCGAGCGUUGUCCGGAAUGACUGGGCGUAAAGGGCGUGUAGGCGGCCGAUUAAGUCUGGAGUGAAAGUCCUGCUUUCAAGGUGGGAAUUGCUUUGGAGCCUGGUUGGCUUGAGUGCGGAAGAGGUAAGUGGAAUUCCCAGUGUAGCGGUGAAAUGCGUAGAGAUUGGGAGGAACACCAGUGGCGAAGGCGACUUACUGGGCCGUAACUGACGCUGAGGCGCGAAAGCGUGGGGAGCAAACAGGAUUAGAUACCCUGGUAGUCCACGCUGUAAACGAUGAAUACUAGGUGUGGGGGGACUGACCCCCUCCGUGCCGCAGUUAACACAAUAAGUAUUCCACCUGGGGAGUACGAUCGCAAGAUUGAAACUCAAAGGAAUUGACGGGG
rnacentral:rRNA from 1 species